rnacentral:lncRNA from 1 species
ACGAACGCAUGCAAUCUUCCUAAUUAGACCCUAGAACAUGUUUGGGAGUGUUUUUGGGCAUUCGGUUCCGGUAUGAAAAACGAUGCAAAACGGGUGCAUUUCGGCACCCGAAUGCACUUUUGCCGGGUAGCGAAACUCGGGUGGAUUUUUUCACAACGAACGCAUGCAAUCUUCCUAAAUAUGCACUAGAACAUGUUUGGGAGUGUUUUUGGGCAUUCGGUUCCGGCACGAAAAAUGAUGCAAAACGGGUGCAUUUCGGCACCCGAAUGCACUAUUGCCGGGUAGCGAAACUCGGGUGGAUUUUUCGCAACGAACGCAUGCAAUCUUCCUAAAUAUGCACUAGAACAUGUUUGGGAGUGCUUUUUGGGCAUUCGGUUCCGGCACGAAAAACGAUGCAAAACGGGUGCAUUUCGGCACCCGAAUGCACUAUUGCCGGGUAGCGAAACUCGGGUGGAUUUUUUCGCAACGAACGCAUGCAAUCUUCCUAAAUAUGCACUAGAACAUGUUUGGGAGUGUUUUGGGCAUUCGGUUCCGGCACGAAAAAUGAUGCAAAACGGGUGCAUUUCGGCACCCGAAUGCACUUGUUGCCGGGUAGCGAAACUCGGGUGGAUUUUUUCGCAACGAACAGCAUGCAAUCUUCCUAAAUAUGCACUAGAACAUGUUUGGGAGUGUUUUUGGGCAUUCGGUUCCGGCACGAAAAAUGAUGCAAAACGGGUGCAUUUCGGCACCCGAAUGCACUAUUGCCGGGUAGCGAAACUCGGGUGGAUUUUUUCGCAACGAACGCAUGCAAUCUUCCUAAUUAGACCCUAGAACAUGUUUGGGAGUGUUUUUGGGCAUUCGGUUCCGGCACGAAAAACGAUGCAAAACGGGUGCAUUUCGGCACCCGAAUGCACUAUUGCCGGGUAGCGAAACUCGGGUGGAUUUUUUCGCAACGAACGCAUGCAAUCUUCCUAAUAUAGCACUAGAACAUGUUUGGGAGUGUUUUUGGGCAUUCGGUUCCGGCACGAAAAAUGAUGCAAAACGGGUGCAUUUCGGCACCCGAAUGCACUAUUGCCGGGUAGCGAAACUCGGGUGGAUUUUUUCGCAACGAACGCAUGCAAUCUUCCUAAAUAUAGCACUAGAACAUGUUUGGGAGUGUUUUUGGGCAUUCGGUUCCGGCACGAAAAAUGAUGCAAAACGGGUGCAUUUCGGCACCCGAAUGCACUAUUGCCGGGUAGCGAAACUCGGGUGGAUUUUUUCGCAACGAACGCAUGCAAUCUUCCUAAAUAUGACACUAGAACAUGUUUGGGAGUGUUUUUGGGCAUUCGGUUCCGGCACGAAAAAUGAUGCAAAACGGGUGCAUUUCGGCACCCGAAUGCACUAUUGCCGGGUAGCGAAACUCGGGUGGAUUUUUUCGCAACGAACGCAUGCAAUCUUCCUAAAUAUGCACUAGAACAUGUUUGGGAGUGUUUUUGGGCAUUCGGUUCCGGCACGAAAAAUGAUGCAAAACGGGUGCAUUUCGGCACCCGAAUGCACUAUUGCCGGGUAGCGAAACUCGGGUGGAUUUUUUCGCAACGAACGCAUGCAAUCUUCCUAAUAUAGCACUAGAACAUGUUUGGGAGUGUUUUUGGGCAUUCGGUUCCGGCACGAAAAAUGAUGCAAAACGGGUGCAUUUCGGCACCCGAAUGCACUAUUGCCGGGUAGCGAAACUCGGGUGGAUUUUUUCGCAACGAACGCAUGCAAUCUUCCUAAUAUAAGCACUAGAACAUGUUUGGGAGUGUUUUUGGGCAUUCGGUUCCGGCACGAAAAAUGAUGCAAAACGGGUGCAUUUCGGCACCCGAAUGCACUAUUGCCGGGUAGCGAAACUCGGGUGGAUUUUUUCGCAACGAACGCAUGCAAUCUUCCUAAAUAUGCACUAGAACAUGUUUGGGAGUGUUUUUGGGCAUUCGGUUCCGGCACGAAAAAUGAUGCAAAACGGGUGCAUUUCGGCACCCGAAUGCACUAUUGCCGGGUAGCGAAACUCGGGUGGAUUUUUUCGCAACGAACGCAUGCAAUCUUCCUAAAUAUGCACUAGAACAUGUUUGGGAGUGUUUUUGGGCAUUCGGUUCCGGCACGAAAAAUGAUGCAAAACGGGUGCAUUUCGGCACCCGAAUGCACUAUUGCCGGGUAGCGAAACUCGGGUGGAUUUUUUCGCAACGAACGCAUGCAAUCUUCCUAAAUAUGCACUAGAACAUGUUUGGGAGUGUUUUUGGGCAUUCGGUUCCGGCACGAAAAAUGAUGCAAAACGGGUGCAUUUCGGCACCCGAAUGCACUAUUGCCGGGUAGCGAAACUCGGGUGGAUUUUUUCGCAACGAACGCAUGCAAUCUUCCUAAUAUAGCACUAGAACAUGUUUGGGAGUGUUUUUGGGCAUUCGGUUCCGGCACGAAAAAUGAUGCAAAACGGGUGCAUUUCGGCACCCGAAUGCACUAUUGCCGGGUAGCGAAACUCGGGUGGAUUUUUUCGCAACGAACGCAUGCAAUCUUCCUAAAUAUAGCACUAGAACAUGUUUGGGAGUGUUUUUGGGCAUUCGGUUCCGGCACGAAAAACGAUGCAAAACGGGUGCAUUUCGGCACCCGAAUGCACUAUUGCCGGGUAGCGAAACUCGGGUGGAUUUUUUCGCAACGAACGCAUGCAAUCUUCCUAAAUAUGCACUAGAACAUGUUUGGGAGUGUUUUUGGGCAUUCGGUUCCGGCACGAAAAAUGAUGCAAAACGGGUGCAUUUCGGCACCCGAAUGCACUAUUGCCGGGUAGCGAAACUCGGGUGGAUUUUUUCGCAACGAACGCAUGCAAUCUUCCUAAUUAGACCCUAGAACAUGUUUGGGAGUGUUUUUGGGCAUUCGGUUCCGGCACGAAAAAUGAUGCAAAACGGGUGCAUUUCGGCACCCGAAUGCACUAUUGCCGGGUAGCGAAACUCGGGUGGAUUUUUUCGCAACGAACGCAUGCAAUCUUCCUAAAUAUGCACUAGAACAUGUUUGGGAGUGUUUUUGGGCAUUCGGUUCCGGCACGAAAAAUGAUGCAAAACGGGUGCAUUUCGGCACCCGAAUGCACUAUUGCCGGGUAGCGAAACUCGGGUGGAUUUUUUCGCAACGAACGCAUGCAAUCUUCCUAAUUAGACCCUAGAACAUGUUUGGGAGUGUUUUUGGGCAUUCGGUUCCGGCACGAAAAAUGAUGCAAAACGGGUGCAUUUCGGCACCCGAAUGCACUAUUGCCGGGUAGCGAAACUCUGGUGGAUUUUUUCGCAACGAACGCAUGCAAUCUUCCUAAUUAGACCCUAGAACAUGUUUGGGAGUGUUUUUGGGCAUUCGGUUCCGGCACGAAAAACUGAUGCAAAACGGGUGCAUUUCGGCACCCGAAUGCACUUUUGCCGGGUAGCGAAACUCGGGUGGAUUUUUUCGCAACGAACGCAUGCAAUCUUCCUAAAUAUGCACUAGAACAUGUUUGGGAGUGUUUUUGGGCAUUCGGUUCCGGCACGAAAAAUGAUGCAAAACGGGUGCAUUUCGGCACCCGAAUGCACUAUUGCCGGGUAGCGAAACUCGGGUGGAUUUUUUCGCAACGAACGCAUGCAAUCUUCCUAAAUAUGCACUAGAACAUGUUUGGGAGUGUUUUUGGGCAUUCGGUUCCGGCACGAAAAAUGAUGCAAAACGGGUGCAUUUCGGCACCCGAAUGCACUAUUGCCGGGUAGCGAAACUCGGGUGGAUUUUUUCGCAACGAACGCAUGCAAUCUUCCUAAAUAUGCACUAGAACAUGUUUGGGAGUGUUUUUGGGCAUUCGGUUCCGGCACGAAAAAUGAUGCAAAACGGGUGCAUUUCGGCACCCGAAUGCACUAUUGCCGGGUAGCGAAACUCGGGUGGAUUUUUUCGCAACGAACGCAUGCAAUCUUCCUAAAUAUGCACUAGAACAUGUUUGGGAGUGUUUUUGGGCAUUCGGUUCCGGCACGAAAAAUGAUGCAAAACGGGUGCAUUUCGGCACCCGAAUGCACUAGUUGCCGGGUAGCGAAACUCGGGUGGAUUUUUUCGCAACGAACAGCAUGCAAUCUUCCUAAAUAUGCACUAGAACAUGUUUGGGAGUGUUUUUGGGCAUUCGGUUCCGGCACGAAAAAUGAUGCAAAACGGGUGCAUUUCGGCACCCGAAUGCACUAUUGCCGGGUAGCGAAACUCGGGUGGAUUUUUUCGCAACGAACGCAUGCAAUCUUCCUAAUUAGACCCUAGAACAUGUUUGGGAGUGUUUUUGGGCAUUCGGUUCCGGCACGAAAAAUGAUGCAAAACGGGUGCAUUUCGGCACCCGAAUGCACUUUUGCCGGGUAGCGAAACUCGGGUGGAUUUUUUCGCAACGAACGCAUGCAAUCUUCCUAAAUAUGCACUAGAACAUGUUUGGGAGUGUUUUUGGGCAUUCGGUUCCGGCACGAAAAAUGAUGCAAAACGGGUGCAUUUCGGCACCCGAAUGCACUAUUGCCGGGUAGCGAAACUCGGGUGGAUUUUUUCGCAACGAACGCAUGCAAUCUUCCUAAAUAUGCACUAGAACAUGUUUGGGAGUGUUUUUGGGCAUUCGGUUCCGGCACGAAAAAUGAUUCAAAACGGGUGCAUUUCGGCACCCGAAUGCACUAUUGCCGGGUAGCGAAACUCGGGUGGAUUUUUUCGCAACGAACGCAUGCAAUCUUCCUAAAUAUGCACUAGAACAUGUUUGGGAGUGUUUUUGGGCAUUCGGUUCCGGCACGAAAAAUGAUGCAAAACGGGUGCAUUUCGGCACCCGAAUGCACUAUUGCCGGGUAGCGAAACUCGGGUGGAUUUUUUCGCAACGAACGCAUGCAAUCUUCCUAAAUAUGCACUAGAACAUGUUUGGGAGUGUUUUUGGGCAUUCGGUUCCGGCACGAAAAAUGAUGCAAAACGGGUGCAUUUCGGCACCCGAAUGCACUAUUGCCGGGUAGCGAAACUCGGGUGGAUUUUUUCGCAACGAACGCAUGCAAUCUUCCUAAAUAUGCACUAGAACAUGUUUGGGAGUGUUUUUGGGCAUUCGGUUCCGGCACGAAAAAUGAUGCAAAACGGGUGCAUUUCGGCACCCGAAUGCACUAUUGCCGGGUAGCGAAACUCGGGUGGAUUUUUUCGCAACGAACGCAUGCAAUCUUCCUAAAUAUGCACUAGAACAUGUUUGGGAGUGUUUUUGGGCAUUCGGUUCCGGCACGAAAAAUGAUGCAAAACGGGUGCAUUUCGGCACCCGAAUGCACUAUUGCCGGGUAGCGAAACUCGGGUGGAUUUUUUCGCAACGAACGCAUGCAAUCUUCCUAAAUAUGCACUAGAACAUGUUUGGGAGUGUUUUUGGGCAUUCGGUUCCGGCACGAAAAACGAUGCAAAACGGGUGCAUUUCGGCACCCGAGUGCACUAUUGCCGGGUAGCGAAACUCGGGUGGAUUUUUUCGCAACGAACGCAUGCAAUCUUCCUAAAUAUGCACUAGAACAUGUUUGGGAGUGUUUUUGGGCAUUCGGUUCCGGCACGAAAAAUGAUGCAAAACGGGUGCAUUUCGGCACCCGAAUGCACUAGUUGCCGGGUAGCGAAACUCGGGUGGAUUUUUUCGCAACGAACACAUGCAAUCUUCCUAAUUAGACCCUAGAACAUGUUUGGGAGUGUUUUUGGGCAUUCGGUUCCGGCACGAAAAAUGAUGCAAAACGGGUGCAUUUCGGCACCCGAAUGCACUAUUGCCGGGUAGCGAAACUCGGGUGGAUUUUUUCGCAACGAACACAUGCAAUCUUCCUAAAUAUGCACUAGAACAUGUUUGGGAGUGUUUUUGGGCAUUCGGUUCCGGCACGAAAAAUGAUGCAAAACGGGUGCAUUUCGGCACCCGAAUGCACUGUUGCCGGGUAGCGAAACUCUGGUGGAUUUUUUCGCAACGAACGCAUGCAAUCUUCCUAAUUAGACCCUAGAACAUGUUUGGGAGUGUUUUUGGGCAUUUGGUUCCGGCACGAAAAAUGAUGCAAAACGGGUGCAUUUCGGCACCCGAAUGCACUAUUGCCGGGUAGCGAAACUCUGGUGGAUUUUUUCGCAACGAACGCAUGCAAUCUUCCUAAUUAGACCCUAGAACAUGUUUGGGAGUGUUUUUGGGCAUUCGGUUCCGGUAUGAAAAACGAUGCAAAACGGGUGCAUUUCGGCACCCGAAUGCACUUUUGCCGGGUAGCGAAACUCGGGUGGAUUUUCUCGCAACGAACGCAUGCAAUCUUCCUAAAUAUGCACUAGAACAUGUUUGGGAGUGUUUUUGGGCAUUCGGUUCCGGCACGAAAAAUGAUGCAAAACGGGUGCAUUUCGGCACCCGAAUGCACUAUUGCCGGGUAGCGAAACUCGGGUGGAUUUUUUCGCAACGAACGCAUGCAAUCUUCCUAAAUAUGCACUAGAACAUGUUUGGGAGUGUUUUUGGGCAUUCGGUUCCGGCACGAAAAAUGAUUCAAAACGGGUGCAUUUCGGCACCCGAAUGCACUAUUGCCGGGUAGCGAAACUCGGGUGGAUUUUUUCGCAACGAACGCAUGCAAUCUUCCUAAAUAUGCACUAGAACAUGUUUGGGAGUGUUUUUGGGCAUUCGGUUCCGGCACGAAAAAUGAUGCAAAACGGGUGCAUUUCGGCACCCGAAUGCACUAUUGCCGGGUAGCGAAACUCGGGUGGAUUUUUUCGCAACGAACGCAUGCAAUCUUCCUAAAUAUGCACUAGAACAUGUUUGGGAGUGUUUUUGGGCAUUCGGUUCCGGCACGAAAAAUGAUGCAAAACGGGUGCAUUUCGGCACCCGAAUGCACUAUUGCCGGGUAGCGAAACUCGGGUGGAUUUUUUCACAACGAACGCAUGCAAUCUUCCUAAAUAUGCACUAGAACAUGUUUGGGAGUGUUUUUGGGCAUUCGGUUCCGGCACGAAAAAUGAUUCAAAACGGGUGCAUUUCGGCACCCGAAUGCACUAUUGCCGGGUAGCGAAACUCGGGUGGAUUUUUUCGCAACGAACGCAUGCAAUCUUCCUAAAUAUGCACUAGAACAUGUUUGGGAGUGUUUUUGGGCAUUCGGUUCCGGCACGAAAAAUGAUGCAAAACGGGUGCAUUUCGGCACCCGAAUGCACUAUUGCCGGGUAGCAAAACUCGGGUGGAUUUUUUCGCAACGAACGCAUGCAAUCUUCCUAAAUAUGCACUAGAACAUGUUUGGGAGUGUUUUUGGGCAUUCGGUUCCGGCACGAAAAACGAUGCAAAACGGGUGCAUUUCGGCACCCGAGUGCACUAUUGCCGGGUAGCGAAACUCGGGUGGAUUUUUUCGCAACGAACGCAUGCAAUCUUCCUAAAUAUGCACUAGAACAUGUUUGGGAGUGUUUUUGGGCAUUCGGUUCCGGCACGAAAAAUGAUGCAAAACGGGUGCAUUUCGGCACCCGAAUGCACUGUUGCCGGGUAGCGAAACUCUGGUGGAUUUUUUCGCAACGAACACAUGCAAUCUUCCUAAUUAGACCCUAGAACAUGUUUGGGAGUGUUUUUGGGCAUUCGGUUCCGGCACGAAAAAUGAUGCAAAACGGGUGCAUUUCGGCACCCGAAUGCACUGUUGCCGGGUAGCGAAACUCGGGUGGAUUUUUUCGCAACAAACACAUGCAAUCUUCCUAAAUAUGCACUAGAACAUGUUUGGGAGUGUUUUUGGGCAUUCGGUUCCGGCACGAAAAAUGAUGCAAAACGGGUGCAUUUCGGCACCCGAAUGCACUGUUGCCGGGUAGCGAAACUCUGGUGGAUUUUUUCGCAACGAACGCAUGCAAUCUUCCUAAUUAGACCCUAGAACAUGUUUGGGAGUGUUUUUGGGCAUUUGGUUCCGGCACGAAAAAUGAUGCAAAACGGGUGCAUUUCGGCACCCGAAUGCACUAUUGCCGGGUAGCGACACUCUGGUGGAUUUUUUCGCAACGAACGCAUGCAAUCUUCCUAAUUAGACCCUAGAACAUGUUUGGGAGUGUUUUUGGGCAUUCGGUUCCGGUAUGAAAAACGAUGCAAAACGGGUGCAUUUCGGCACCCGAAUGCACUUUUGCCGGGUAGCGAAACUCGGGUGGAUUUUCUCGCAACGAACGCAUGCAAUCUUCCUAAAUAUGCACUAGAACAUGUUUGGGAGUGUUUUUGGGCAUUCGGUUCCGGCACGAAAAAUGAUGCAAAACGGGUGCAUUUCGGCACCCGAAUGCACUAUUGCCGGGUAGCGAAACUCGGGUGGAUUUUUUCGCAACGAACGCAUGCAAUCUUCCUAAAUAUGCACUAGAACAUGUUUGGGAGUGUUUUUGGGCAUUCGGUUCCGGCACGAAAAAUGAUUCAAAACGGGUGCAUUUCGGCACCCGAGUGCACUAUUGCCGGAUAGCGAAACUCGGGUGGAUUUUUUCGCAACGAACGCAUGCAAUCUUCCUAAAUAUGCACUAGAACAUGUUUGGGAGUGUUUUUGGGCAUUCGGUUCCGGCACGAAAAACGAUGCAAAACGGGUGCAUUUCGGCACCCGAAUGCACUAUUGCCGGGUAGCGAAACUCGGGUGGAUUUUUUCGCAACGAACGCAUGCAAUCUUCCUAAAUAUGCCCUAGAACAUGUUUGGGAGUGUUUUUGGGCAUUCGGUUCCGGCACGAAAAAUGAUGCAAAACGGGUGCAUUUCGGCACCCGAAUGCACUGUUGCCGGGUAGCGAAACUCUGGUGGAUUUUUUCGCAACGAACGCAUGCAAUCUUCCUAAUUAGACCCUAGAACAUGUUUGGGAGUGUUUUUGGGCAUUUGGUUCCGGCACGAAAAAUGAUGCAAAACGGGUGCAUUUCGGCACCCGAGUGCACUAUUGCCGGGUAGCGAAACUCGGGUGGAUUUUUUCGCAACGAACGCAUGCAAUCUUCCUAAAUAUGCACUAGAACAUGUUUGGGAGUGUUUUUGGGCAUUCGGUUCCGGCACGAAAAAUGAUGCAAAACGGGUGCAUUUCGGCACCCGAAUGCACUGUUGCCGGGUAGCGAAACUCGGGUGGAUUUUUUCGCAACGAACACAUGCAAUCUUCCUAAAUAUGCACUAGAACAUGUUUGGGAGUGUUUUUGGGCAUUCGGUUCCGGCACGAAAAAUGAUGCAAAACGGGUGCAUUUCGGCACCCGAAUGCACUAUUGCCGGGUAGCGAAACUCUGGUGGAUUUUUUCGCAACGAACGCAUGCAAUCUUCCUAAUUAGACCCUAGAACAUGUUUGGGAGUGUUUUUGGGCAUUCGGUUCCGGUAUGAAAAACGAUGCAAAACGGGUGCAUUUCGGCACCCGAAUGCACUUUUGCCGGGUAGCGAAACUCGGGUGGAUUUUCUCGCAACGAACGCAUGCAAUCUUCCUAAAUAUGCACUAGAACAUGUUUGGGAGUGUUUUUGGGCAUUCGGUUCCGGCACGAAAAAUGAUGCAAAACGGGUGCAUUUCGGCACCCGAAUGCACUAUUGCCGGGUAGCGAAACUCGGGUGGAUUUUUUCGCAACGAACGCAUGCAAUCUUCCUAAAUAUGCACUAGAACAUGUUUGGGAGUGUUUUUGGGCAUUCGGUUCCGGCACGAAAAAUGAUGCAAAACGGGUGCAUUUCGGCACCCGAAUGCACUAUUGCCGGGUAGCGAAACUCGGGUGGAUUUUUUCGCAACGAACGCAUGCAAUCUUCCUAAAUAUGCACUAGAACAUGUUUGGGAGUGUUUUUGGGCAUUCGGUUCCGGCACGAAAAAUGAUUCAAAACGGGUGCAUUUCGGCACCCGAGUGCACUAUUGCCGGAUAGCGAAACUCGGGUGGAUUUUGUCGCAACGAACGCAUGCAAUCUUCCUAAAUAUGCACUAGAACAUGUUUGGGAGUGUUUUUGGGCAUUCGGUUCCGGCACGAAAAACGAUGCAAAACGGGUGCAUUUCGGCACCCGAGUGCACUAUUGCCGGGUAGCGAAACUCGGGUGGAUUUUUUCGCAACGAACGCAUGCAAUCUUCCUAAAUAUGCACUAGAACAUGUUUGGGAGUGUUUUUGGGCAUUCGGUUCCGGCACGAAAAAUGAUGCAAAACGGGUGCAUUUCGGCACCCGAAUGCACUGUUGCCGGGUAGCGAAACUCUGGUGGAUUUUUUCGCAACGAACGCAUGCAAUCUUCCUAAUUAGACCCUAGAACAUGUUUGGGAGUGUUUUUGGGCAUUGGGUUCCGGCACGAAAAAUGAUGCAAAACGGGUGCAUUUCGGCACCCGAGUGCACUAUUGCCGGGUAGCGAAACUCGGGUGGAUUUUUUCGCAACGAACGCAUGCAAUCUUCCUAAAUAUGCACUAGAACAUGUUUGGGAGUGUUUUUGGGCAUUCGGUUCCGGCACGAAAAAUGAUUCAAAACGGGUGCAUUUCGGCACCCGAGUGCACUAUUGCCGGAUAGCGAAACUCGGGUGGAUUUUUUCGCAACGAACGCAUGCAAUCUUUCUAAAUAUGCACUAGAACAUGUUUGGGAGUGUUUUUGGGCAUUCGGUUCCGGCACGAAAAAUGAUGCAAAACGGGUGCAUUUCGGCACCCGAAUGCACUGUUGCCGGGUAGCGAAACUCGGGUGGAUUUUUUCGCAACGAACACAUGCAAUCUUCCUAAAUAUGCACUAGAACAUGUUUGGGAGUGUUUUUGGGCAUUCGGUUCCGGCACGAAAAAUGAUGCAAAACGGGUGCAUUUCGGCACCCGAAUGCACUGUUGCCGGGGUAGCGAAACUCGGGUGGAUUUUUUCGCAACAAACACAUGCAAUCUUCCUAAAUAUGCACUAGAACAUGUUUGGGAGUGUUUUUGGGCAUUCGGUUCCGGCACGAAAAAUGAUGCAAAACGGGUGCAUUUCGGCACCCGAAUGCACUGUUGCCGGGUAGCGAAACUCUGGUGGAUUUUUUCGCAACGAACGCAUGCAAUCUUCCUAAUUAGACCCUAGAACAUGUUUGGGAGUGUUUUUGGGCAUUUGGUUCCGGCACGAAAAAUGAUGCAAAACGGGUGCAUUUCGGCACCCGAAUGCACUAUUGCCGGGUAGCGACACUCUGGUGGAUUUUUUCGCAACGAACGCAUGCAAUCUUCCUAAAUAUGCACUAGAACAUGUUUGGGAGUGUUUUUGGGCAUUCGGUUCCGGCACGAAAAAUGAUGCAAAACGGGUGCAUUUCGGCACCCGAAUGCACUAUUGCCGGGUAGCGAAACUCUGGUGGAUUUUUUCGCAACGAACGCAUGCAAUCUUCCUAAUUAGACCCUAGAACAUGUUUGGGAGUGUUUUUGGGCAUUCGGUUCCGGUAUGAAAAACGAUGCAAAACGGGUGCAUUUCGGCACCCGAAUGCACUUUUGCCGGGUAGCGAAACUCGGGUGGAUUUUUUGCAACGAACGCAUGCAAUCUUCCUAAAUAUGCACUAGAACAUGUUUGGGAGUGUUUUUGGGCAUUCGGUUCCGGCACGAAAAAUGAUGCAAAACGGGUGCAUUUCGGCACCCGAAUGCACUAUUGCCGGGUAGCGAAACUCGGGUGGAUUUUUUCGCAACGAACGCAUGCAAUCUUCCUAAAUAUGCACUAGAACAUGUUUGGGAGUGCUUUUGGGCAUUCGGUUCCGGCACGAAAAACGAUGCAAAACGUGUGCAUUUCGGCACCCGAAUGCACUAUUGCCGGGUAGCGAAACUCGGGUGGAUUUUUUCGCAACGAACGCAUGCAAUCUUUCUAAAUAUGCACUAGAACAUGUUUGGGAGUGUUUUUGGGCAUUCGGUUCCGGCACGAAAAAUGAUGCAAAACGGGUGCAUUUCGGCACCCGAAUGCACUGUUGCCGGGUAGCGAAACUCGGGUGGAUUUUUUCGCAACGAACACAUGCAAUCUUCCUAAAUAUGCACUAGAACAUGUUUGGGAGUGUUUUUGGGCAUUCGGUUCCGGCACGAAAAAUGAUGCAAAACGGGUGCAUUUCGGCACCCGAAUGCACUAUUGCCGGGUAGCGAAACUCUGGUGGAUUUCUUCGCAACGAACGCAUGCAAUCUUCCUAAAUAUGCACUAGAACAUGUUUGGGAGUGUUUUUGGGCAUUCGGUUCCGGCACGAAAAAUGAUGCAAAACGGGUGCAUUUCGGCACCCGAAUGCACUGUUGCCGGGUAGCGAAACUCGGGUGGAUUUUUUCGCAACGAACACAUGCAAUCUUCCUAAAUAUGCACUAGAACAUGUUUGGGAGUGUUUUUGGGCAUUCGGUUCCGGCACGAAAAAUGAUGCAAAACGGGUGCAUUUCGGCACCCGAAUGCACUAUUGCCGGGUAGCGAAACUCUGGUGGAUUUUUUCGCAACGAACGCAUGCAAUCUUCCUAAUUAGACCCUAGAACAUGUUUGGGAGUGUUUUUGGGCAUUCGGUUCCGGUAUGAAAAACGAUGCAAAACGGGUGCAUUUCGGCACCCGAAUGCACUUUUGCCGGGUAGCGAAACUCGGGUGGAUUUUCUCGCAACGAACGCAUGCAAUCUUCCUAAAUAUGCACUAGAACAUGUUUGGGAGUGUUUUUGGGCAUUCGGUUCCGGCACGAAAAAUGAUGCAAAACGGAUGCAUUUCGGCACCCGAAUGCACUAUUGCCGGGUAGCGAAACUCGGGUGGAUUUUUCCGCAACGAACGCAUGCAAUCUUUCUAAAUAUGCACUAGAACAUGUUUGGGAGUGUUUUUGGGCAUUCGGUUCCGGCACAAAAAAUGAUGCAAAACGGGUGCAUUUCGGCACCCGAAUGCACUAUUGCCGGGUAGCGAAACUCUGGUGGAUUUUUUCGCAACGAACGCAUGCAAUCUUCCUAAUUAGACCCUAGAACAUGUUUGGGAGUGUUUUUGGGCAUUCGGUUCCGGUAUGAAAAACGAUGCAAAACGGGUGCAUUUCGGCACCCGAAUGCACUUUUGCCGGGUAGCGAAACUCGGGUGGAUUUUUUCGCAACGAACGCAUGCAAUCUUCCUAAAUAUGCACUAGAACAUGUUUGGGAGUGCUUUUGGGCAUUCGGUUCCGGCACGAAAAACGAUGCAAAACGGGUGCAUUUCGGCACCCGAAUGCACUAUUGCCGGGUAGCGAAACUCGGGUGGAUUUUUUCGCAACGAACGCAUGCAAUCUUCCUAAAUAUGCACUAGAACAUGUUUGGGAGUGUUUUUGGGCAUUCGGUUCCGGCACGAAAAAUGAUGCAAAACGGGUGCAUUUCGGCACCCGAAUGCACUGUUGCCGGGUAGCGAAACUCGGGUGGAUUUUUUCGCAACGAACACAUGCAAUCUUCCUAAAUAUGCACUAGAACAUGUUUGGGAGUGUUUCUGGGCAUUCGGUUCCGGCACGAAAAAUGAUGCAAAACGGGUGCAUUUCGGCACCCGAAUGCACUAUUGCCGGGUAGCGAAACUCUGGUGGAUUUUUUCGCAACGAACGCAUGCAAUCUUCCUAAUUAGACCCUAGAACAUGUUUGGGAUUGUUUUUGGGCAUUCGGUUCCGGUAUGAAAAACGAUGCAAAACGGGUGCAUUUCGGCACCCGAAUGCACUUUUGCCGGGGUAGCGAAACUCGGGUGGAUUUUUUCGCAACGAACGCAUGCAAUCUUCCUAAAUAUGCACUAGAACAUGUUUGGGAGUGUUUUUGGGCAUUCGGUUCCGGCACGAAAAAUGAUGCAAAACGGGUGCAUUUCGGCACCCGAAUGCACUAUUGCCGGGUAGCGAAACUCUGGUGGAUUUUUUCGCAACGAACGCAUGCAAUCUUCCUAAUUAGACCCUAGAACAUGUUUGGGAGUGUUUUUGGGCAUUCGGUUCCGGCACGAAAAAUGAUGCAAAACGGGUGCAUUUCGGCACCCGAAUGCACUGUUGCCGGGUAGCGAAACUCGGGUGGAUUUUUUCGCAACGAACACAUGCAAUCUUCCUAAAUAUGCACUAGAACAUGUUUGGGAGUGUUUUUGGGCAUUCGGUUCCGGCACGAAAAAUGAUGCAAAACGGGUGCAUUUCGGCACCCGAAUGCACUAUUGCCGGGUAGCGAAACUCUGGUGGAUUUUUUCGCAACGAACGCAUGCAAUCUUCCUAAUUAGACCCUAGAACAUGUUUGGGAGUGUUUUUGGGCAUUCGGUUCCGGUAUGAAAAACGAUGCAAAACGGGUGCAUUUCGGCACCCGAAUGCACUUUUGCCGGGUAGCGAAACUCGGGUGGAUUUUCUCGCAACGAACGCAUGCAAUCUUCCUAAAUAUGCACUAGAACAUGUUUGGGAGUGUUUUUGGGCAUUCGGUUCCGGCACGAAAAAUGAUGCAAAACGGGUGCAUUUCGGCACCCGAAUGCACUAUUGCCGGGUAGCGAAACUCGGGUGGAUUUUUUCGCAACGAACGCAUGCAAUCUUCCUAAAUAUGCACUAGAACAUGUUUGGGAGUGUUUUUGGGCAUUCGGUUCCGGCACGAAAAAUGAUGCAAAACGGGUGCAUUUCGGCACCCGAAUGCACUAUUGCCGGUUAGCGAAACUCGGGUGGAUUUUUUCGCAACGAACGCAUGCAAUCUUCCUAAAUAUGCACUAGAACAUGUUUGGGAGUGUUUUUGGGCAUUCGGUUCCGGCACGAAAAAUGAUGCAAAACGGGUGCAUUUCGGCACCCGAAUGCAUUGUUGCCGGGUAGCGAAACUCGGGUGGAUUUUUUCGCAACGAACACAUGCAAUCUUCCUAAAUAUGCACUAGAACAUGUUUGGGAGUGUUUCUGGGCAUUCGGUUCCGGCACGAAAAAUGAUGCAAAACGGGUGCAUUUCGGCACCCGAAUGCACUAUUGCCGGGUAGCGAAACUCUGGUGGAUUUUUUCGCAACGAACGCAUGCAAUCUUCCUAAUUAGACCCUAGAACAUGUUUGGGAUUGUUUUUGGGCAUUCGGUUCCGGUAUGAAAAACGAUGCAAAACGGGUGCAUUUCGGCACCCGAAUGCACUUUUGCCAGGUAGCGAAACUCGGGUGGAUUUUUUCGCAACGAACGCAUGCAAUCUUCCUAAAUAUGCACUAGAACAUGUUUGGGAGUGUUUUUGGGCAUUCGGUUCCGGCACGAAAAAUGAUGCAAAACGGGUGCAUUUCGGCACCCGAAUGCACUGUUGCCGGGUAGCGAAACUCGGGUGGAUUUUUUCGCAACGAACGCAUGCAAUCUUCCUAAAUAUGCACUAGAACAUGUUUGGGAGUGUUUUUGGGCAUUCGGUUCCGGCACGAAAAAUGAUGCAAAACGGGUGCAUUUCGGCACCCGAAUGCACUGUUGCCGGGUAGCGAAACUCGGGUGGAUUUUUUCGCAACGAACCCAUGCAAUCUUCCUAAAUAUGCACUAGAACAUGUUUGGGAGUGUUUUUGGGCAUUCGGUUCCGGCACGAAAAAUGAUGCAAAACGGGUGCAUUUCGGCACCCGAAUGCACUAUUGCCGGGGUAGCGAAACUCUGGUGGAUUUUUUCGCAACGAACGCAUGCAAUCUUCCUAAUUAGACCCUAGAACAUGUUUGGGAGUGUUUUUGGGCAUUCGGUUCCGGUAUGAAAAACGAUGCAAAACGGGUGCAUUUCGGCACCCGAAUGCACUUUUGCCGGGUAGCGAAACUCGGGUGGAUUUUUUCACAACGAACGCAUGCAAUCUUCCUAAAUAUGCACUAGAACAUGUUUGGGAGUGUUUUUGGGCAUUCGGUUCCGGCACGAAAAAUGAUGCAAAACGGGUGCAUUUCGGCACCCGAAUGCACUAUUGCCGGGUAGCGAAACUCUGGUGGAUUUUUUCGCAACGAACGCAUGCAAUCUUCCUAAUUAGACCCUAGAACAUGUUUGGGAGUGUUUUUGGGCAUUCGGUUCCGGCACGAAAAAUGAUGCAAAACGGGUGCAUUUCGGCACCCGAAUGCACUGUUGCCGGGUAGCGAAACUCGGGUGGAUUUUUUCGCAACGAACACAUGCAAUCUUCCUAAAUAUGCACUAGAACAUGUUUGGGAGUGUUUUUGGGCAUUCGGUUCCGGCACGAAAAAUGAUGCAAAACGGGUGCAUUUCGGCACCCGAAUGCACUAUUGCCGGGUAGCGAAACUCUGGUGGAUUUUUUCGCAACGAACGCAUGCAAUCUUCCUAAUUAGACCCUAGAACAUGUUUGGGAGUGUUUUUGGGCAUUCGGUUCCGGUAUGAAAAAUGAUGCAAAACGGGUGCAUUUCGGCACCCGAAUGCACUUUUGCCGGGUAGCGAAACUCGGGUGGAUUUUCUCGCAACGAACGCAUGCAAUCUUCCUAAAUAUGCACUAGAACAUGUUUGGGAGUGUUUUUGGGCAUUCGGUUCCGGCACGAAAAAUGAUGCAAAACGGGUGCAUUUCGGCACCCGAAUGCACUAUUGCCGGGUAGCGAAACUCGGGUGGAUUUUUUCGCAACGAACGCAUGCAAUCUUCCUAAAUAUGCACUAGAACAUGUUUGGGAGUGUUUUUGGGCAUUCGGUUCCGGCACGAAAAAUGAUGCAAAACGGGUGCAUUUCGGCACCCGAAUGCACUAUUGCCGGUUAGCGAAACUCGGGUGGAUUUUUUCGCAACGAACGCAUGCAAUCUUCCUAAAUAUGCACUAGAACAUGUUUGGGAGUGUUUUUGGGCAUUCGGUUCCGGCACGAAAAAUGAUGCAAAACGGGUGCAUUUCGGCACCCGAAUGCAUUGUUGCCGGGUAGCGAAACUCGGGUGGAUUUUUUCGCAACGAACACAUGCAAUCUUCCUAAAUAUGCACUAGAACAUGUUUGGGAGUGUUUCUGGGCAUUCGGUUCCGGCACGAAAAAUGAUGCAAAACGGGUGCAUUUCGGCACCCGAAUGCACUAUUGCCGGGUAGCGAAACUCUGGUGGAUUUUUUCGCAACGAACGCAUGCAAUCUUCCU